AACUUUUGAGGUGCACUUUCGAUCUUUAAUAAAGGACGUGGAAAGUGUUCUUUUGCCUUUUGUCCCACUUCCAUGUGAUAUCUCAAAGGGACAUUUAUGUGCAUUUCAGGAUGGAAAGAGAUCAUUGCAGAGUUCAAGGGACUGCUUUCAUCUCUCCCCAAGGAUAUGGAUGUUAUGCAAAGCUGACUAAGUGAGUAUAAAGAAGCUGCAUUGGAAGUUCAUUCUCUACGAGCUGAAGUUCAAUCUCUGUCUAAUAUCAUUGAUAGGAAGGUAACUGCGUUGGGAAUGCUAUCGAGUAGAUCUGCUGAACAGGUUGCUGAAAUACAGAAACUGCAGGCUGUGGUAGGACUUGAGGGGAGUGCUAAUGGACGAUGGUGGUUGGAUGCUAUCAGGAAGGCCCUCGAAUAAGGAACAACAUUUGAACUUGUAGGAUCUAGGCAGUUGGCUGGUUUGCUUAUAUCCAUAGGCUAGCCAUAGUUCCUUGCUAGCUUGCUGGUGAUACUGUGACCUGGAGCUGAAGUUAAAGCUCUUCAGUUCAAAGAUUAGUCCCAAUGAAAUCUGAAACCAAGUAGCUCUUCAAGUUUAUCAAACUUUGAUCAUCAAUGUGGGAAUUCAACUGAGUCGACUUGUCACGGCCUGUUAUAGGAUGCGGGUGGCAAAAGACCGGUGCUCUCAUUAACCUCAGAACUUUCUACAUCGUGGGAAUUCCAACUAUUGUUCUCUUGGCUCUCGUCUUCCAUUUUGGAGGAAAGCAUGUCUAAACAAUAUGACAAUGCUGGAGCAAGUUCUAGCUUGAGCCUGAAUGGCAGCCUACUAGAUUCGGAGGAUGACAGGAUUAUUGCCAAUAUCCUAUAAGAGGAACAUGUUGGAGAGGAUAUGAGACUUGGGAAGCAUCUAUCUCAUUUAGAUUCCAUCCUGGGAAGACCCAAGCUCAUACUUUCUUGUAAUGUUUCACAUACGCCGAUUUAAUGAAUUGCCCACUCUUACCUUCUUCUUUUUUUUUUGCAUCUUUUUUCUUUUUUUCUUUUUUUUUUUUUAUGUCCCUUUGUGUGAGAAAGCUUUCGCUGUGAUUUCUGAGUGGUUGUAAACAAGAGAAUGCCUGAAAAGUUUAUUUAUGCUUAGAAAAAUGAUGGUUAGAAAAAGAAGUUUAAGGUGUUAUUUGGCACCAUGUAUUUGGAGGUAUUAGGGUGUAAAUGCAUAUUUUUAUGCGCUUGAUGCCAUGCAAUCGGAGGUAAAUAGAAUAAGUGGUAAAUGAAAAGUUAAUUUUUGAUGUGUUUUGAAA